CCUACGGGUGGCUGCAGUGAGGAAUAUUGGUCAAUGGGCGGAAGCCUGAACCAGCCAAGUAGCGUGCGGGAUGAAGGCCCUACGGGUCGUAAACCGCUUUUGCACGGGGAUAACACCCUCCACUUGUGGAGGUCUGCAGGUACCGUGCGAAUAAGGGCCGGCUAAUUCCGUGCCAGCAGCCGCGGUAAUACGGAAGGCCCGAGCGUUAACCGGAUUCAUUGGGCUUAAAGGGAGCGUAGGCGGGCGUUCAAGUCAGCUGUAAAAUCGCGCGGCUCAACCGCGCCCCGCAGUUGAAACUGGACGCCUUGAGUUCACAACAGGCAGGCGGAAUUCGUGGUGUAGCGGUGAAAUCCGUAGAUAUCAGGAGGAACAUCAGUGGCGAAGGCGGCCGCCUGGCACAAAACUGACGCUGAGGUGCGUAAGCGUGGGUAGCAAACAGGAUUAGAUACCCCGGUAGUC
rnacentral:rRNA from 1 species